rnacentral:rRNA from 1 species
AUUGAACGCUGGCGGCAGGCCUAACACAUGCAAGUCGAGCGGAGCGGAGGACGGGAGAGUAAUGCCUAGGAAUCGGCCUGGUAGUGGGGGAUAACGUCCGGAAACGGGCGAUAAUACCGCAUACUAUCAGAUGAGCCUAGGUCGGAUUAGCGAGUGGGUGGGGGAAAGGCCUACCAAGGCGACGAUCCGUAACUGGUCUGAGAGGAUGAUCAGUCACACUGGAACUGAGACACGGUCCAGCCUCCUACGAGAGGCAGCAGUGGGGAAUAUUGGACAAUUGGCGAAAGCCUGAUCCAGCCAUGCCGCUUGUGUGAAGAAGUUCUUCGGAUUGUAAAGCACUUUAAGUUGGGAGGCGUUACCAACAGAAUAAGCACCGGCUAACUUCGUGCCAGCCGCCGCGGUAAUAC